CAUGGCUCGUGCUGCAGCCUUGCUCCUGGCACUCCUCCCUGAGCUGACAGGGCAGGUGUUGGCCCAGGAGGGGCCACACGGGACUGAAGUGGUUCUCGUGGCAGGAGGAGGCUCACCUGAACUCUUGGCAGCAGCCCUCCUCCAGCCUCUGAGCACUCUCUCUGCCCUCCUGUUGCAAAGAAGCCCUGAUGGACCAAGGUGUGACCCUGCGUCCUCAGAUACUGCACUGUCCUGGUUCUGCUCUGGAGCCAGACUCCUGCAGGGCUGCUCUGGGCAGUAGGAGGGUGUGUGGUCUCCACUGCAGAAAGUGCUGGCUGACUGGAGCCAACAGUGACAGCAGUCUUGGCAGGAUCCUCCACGUCCAGUGCACUCCUAGGGCAAGAGGCUGGGCAGCUGGUGGCUGGGCGUGCAGUGGAGAUCCAGCCCUGGCUUCGGGUGGGCUGUGGGCUAGAGAGGGAGCAAGGAACCUGCCCAAAAACAACUAGGGAAAGUGAACGCAGUUCGUGUUUGUUUCCAUUGCAUGCAGCACGUUUCUGUGGUGGCAGACUGGCUUGUUCAAGUUGCAGUGAGAUUGGCUUGUUGCUGGAAACUUGAAAAUAAAUAAAUAUCCUGGUGUCA